GGGCCUAUAGCUCAAUCGGUUAGAGCAACUGACUCAUAAUCAGUAGGUCCUUGGUUCGAUUCCAAGUGGGCCCACCC
rnacentral:tRNA from 1 species